AACGAACGCUGGCGGCAGGCCUAACACAUGCAAGUCGAACGUGAAGCCACCUUCGGGUGGUGGAAAGUGGCAGACGGGUGAGUAACGCGUGGGAACGUGCCUUUCGGUUCGGGAUAACCCAGGGAAACUUGGGCUAAUACCGGAUACGCCCUCCGGGGGAAAGAUUCAUUGCCGAAAGAUCGGCCCGCGUCGGAUUAGCUAGUUGGUGGGGUAAAAGCCUACCAAGGCGACGAUCCGUAGCUGGUCUGAGAGGAUGACCAGCCACACUGGGACUGAGACACGGCCCAGACUCCUACGGGAGGCAGCAGUGGGGAAUAUUGGACAAUGGGCGCAAGCCUGAUCCAGCCAUGCCGCGUGGGUGAAGAAGGCCCUAGGGUUGUAAACCCCUUUCAGCGGGGAAGAUAAUGACGGUACCCGACAGAAUAAGCACCGGCUAACUUCGUGCCAGCCGCCGCCGUAAGAC
rnacentral:rRNA from 1 species